rnacentral:rRNA from 1 species
ACUCAAAGGAAUUGACGGGGACUCGCACAAGCGGUGGAACGUGUGGCUUAAUUCGAUGAUCCGCGAAAAACCUUACCAGGGCUAGAAACCAUACUGCACGCCUCCAGAAACGGAGGAAGCCUUCGAGGGUGUAUGGCAGGUGAUGCAUGGUUGUCGUCAGUUCGUGGCUUGAGCUGUUCCCUUCAGUGGGGUAACGAACGCAACCCUCGUUGUCUGUUACUUAUGUCAGGCGAGACUGCCCCCUCACGGGGGAGGAAGGUGGGGAUGACGCCAAAUCAGCAUGUCCCUUGAUGCCCUGGGCUGCACACACGUUACAAUGGGUGGUACAGAAGGAUGCAAUACCGCAAGGUGGAGCUAAUCCCAAAAACCACCCCCAGUACGGAUCGAGGUCUGCAAUCGACCUCGUGAAGCCGGAAUCGCUAGUAAUCGUGAAUCAGCACGUCACGGUGAAUACGUUCUCGAGUCUUGUACACACCGCCCGU